GACGAACGCUGGCGGCGUGCUUAACACAUGCAAGUCGAACGGUGAAGCGAGUGCUUGCACUCGUGGAUCAGUGGCGAACGGGUGAGUAACACGUGAAUAACCUGCCCAUCACUCUGGGAUAAGCACUGGAAACGGUGUCUAAUACUGGAUACGACCAACCCUUGCAUGGGGUGUUGGUGGAAAGAUUUAUCGGUGAUGGAUGGACUCGCGGCCUAUCAGCUUGUUGGCGGGGUAAUGGCCCACCAAGGCGACGACGGGUAGCCGGCCUGAGAGGGUGACCGGCCACACUGGGACUGAGACACGGCCCAGACUCCUACGGGAGGCAGCAGUGGGGAAUAUUGCACAAUGGGCGAAAGCCUGAUGCAGCGACGCCGCGUGAGGGAUGACGGCCUUCGGGUUGUAAACCUCUUUCAGCAGGGAAGAAGCGAAAGUGACGGUACCUGCAGAAGAAGCACCGGCUAACUACGUG
rnacentral:rRNA from 1 species